rnacentral:lncRNA from 1 species
CAAAAAGACAAAAAAAAAAAAAAAAAAAAAAAAAAGAAAUAUACCUACAAAAGGCCCAGUAUGUCCUAUAAGCAGUGUUAUGUGGGUAAAUGUUUAAGAACUAGCACUCUGAAAAUAACCCAAUCACACAUAAGUCCUGCUUGUAUAAUUUGCUGAUUUAAAGCUACCAACUUAGUGUCAUUAAAUGUGGAAUUGGAAACAAGAAGAAGUUGAAACAAGAUGUAGUCCGUGGUUGGUUGAAUGCACAGAUGUGGAACCCAUGGACAUGAAGGGCCAGCUAAAGCAUUUUAUAUAAGGGACUUGAGAAUCCAUGGAUUUUGGUAUGAGGAGGAGGGUCCUUAAACCAAUCCCUCAGACAUGCUAAGGGACAAAUAUCCAGUUUUUGCAAAAAUAACUGUAUAGGCUAAUGGGAAGUUAUGUGCAUGAUAACAAAUAUUUUACCUUAAAUAUAACAAUUAAUUUUGUUUGUCUUUGUAGGGCCGUAUCUGCAGUAUAUGGAGGUUCCCAAGCUAGGGUUUGAGUCAGAGUUGUAGCCACCAGCCUACAUCACAGCCACAGCAAUACCAGAUUCAAACCACUUUGUGACUUACACCACAGCUUGUGGCAACGCCAGAUCCUUGACCCACUGAGUCAGGCCGGGGAUUGAAACCACAUUCUCAUAGAUACUGGUCAGGUUCUUAACCUGCUGAACCACAACGGGAAUUCCACAUUAAUUAUUUUCAAAGCAUGGAAGAUAAUAUCAGCUUUACCACUGAUUGCAGCAAUGCUGGAUCCUUUAACCCAUUGCCCCAGGCUGGGUAUUGAACCUUCGCCCCCAUAGCCACCUAAGCCACUGCAGUUGGAUUCUUAACCCACUGCACCACAGCAGGAACUCCUCAGUUUUAUGUUAGAGAAGAGAAAACAGAGCUGACAAAUGUGAAGAACUCAUCCAAUAUUAUGUGGCUGUUAAGAUUCAAAGCCUGAUUUAGAAGUUUCUGGACUAUUGCUCAAGUCAUUUUCAUUUACUUUUUGCUUGUGUUACUUAACAAGCUACAGGAUGCAUCCAGGGGGUGCUGUGUGUACAAUGCUGAGAGAAUGAUGCUAUGGAUAUAACAACAUGAUGAUUCUGAGGUAUUAGUUGGAGUAGUGCUCAUAUGUCCUUGUGUUAUACUCUUUAUCCCAUCCCCAAGUAUAGAUAGGUAGAACAUUGAUUGAUUCCACCCUCACUAGCAGUUGUUUCUGGCCACAAGGAGAGAUCAAAAAGCUCAAGGGAGAUAAUUCAGAGAGUGGAAGAAAACUAGUGAUGCACUAAAGUCACCUGGAAGGGCUCUAAACAUAAUGCCAAUAGUCUCAAAGUGUAGUCCUUGAGGCUAACAGCAUCAUUAUCUCCAGGGAACUUCGUGGAAAUCAAAUUCUUGGGGCUGAUGUCAGUGAUUUGUAAUCAACAAGCCCUCCUGGUAAUUCUGAUGCUUGCUGAAAUUUGAGAAGUGCCCUAGGUCUUCCCUCUCCCCAGAUGUAGGAACUUGAGAGUUUGGGGAUCUUAAAGAAGAGAAGACCUUGGUAUCUCAUUCCAAAUUGAUCAAGCUGACAUCAGAAAUAACUGAGUAAUCACUAAUUUGAUUGCAUUUACUUGAAGUGACUAAUUAAGUUGUCUGCUAUUAGAUGGAAUUGAGAAUUUAAGGCAGAAAUAAGUUUAGUUUGAGGAAAAUUAAGAUAUUUACACUGCAAUAAUACCUGAGUUUGUGUCUCAUAAAAUUGAAUCUUCUAGGUACACUUUGGAUGCACUUGGAAUUCUGUCCUGCAAUGAACCAAACAGAUGAAGUGAACAUACAGACCUCGGUGACCUUUUAUAGUGUCAGGUGGCCGUUCAUACACUUGACUGAAUUAAGACUCUUAUGUACAGCUGUAGGGUGGGCAGGUAAAGCAUUUGAAAUUGUAAGCUGUGGCAAAAUAUGACCCAUAUAACUUUUCCUUGGCCUUUGCACUGUGACCCUGCCCCCAGGCUUUAACUUCCCUCAUGUGAUUGUGCUUUGUGCUUCUCCUUCAGCAUGGCAUAUCUCAUUAUGGUCCUAACUAGGGUGACCCAGAGUGCCUGAGAUUUUUCCACUUUUGAAAUGGAGUGUCCCAUGUCCCAGGAACCUCCUAGUCCUGGGAAAAUUGAUAAUUGAUCGCUCUAAUCUUAACCCACCUAAUUUAGGACCUUGACUGGGCUUUUCCUUUGCUUCUUUCACUGGUGCAGAUUGAUCUCAUGUCUUGACAGGCUGGUGAUCCCAGUUUAUGCUGCUCUUGGGGAACUCUGGGGCCUCUGGCUACUGAGAAUCCCUGUGAAACACUUACUACUUCUAGUACUUAUAACAAAUAUUUGUAGAAGGCAUGCAUAGUAGUUAUUUUUAGCACUGUGUGAAGUAUUUCUUACUGAAUUGAAAAUAUCUAGUCACAAUUACUGACACAGCCAGAUUAUUAACUGCUUUAUAUUAAAGCUUGGAAACGUCUUCUUGGUAUUGAGUGACUUUAAUUAAGGAAAAUCACUAAGACUGGAAUAUUAAAGCUUGGCCUGGCACUGUGGUAUUGAUUACUUGGGUGACACCUGGAUGUUGGGCUUAAAGAAAAUUAAUCCUGCCACUUGUGGAAUAGAAUAUGUUCUUGUGCGGUUGUGAAGUGAGAGCACUGAACUGUAACCCCUAGAUCUCAAAGGCCAGCAGGCUUGACAUAGGUCCACAGUCCUCGUCCCUUUGGAGAAAACGUUUAGCAAAAAGACUGAGAAGAGAGAGAGAGGAGAGGCAGACAGACAGAGAGACCAAGAAACAGAAAGAGCCAGCUGCUUUGGGCGUGGUUUAAAUCACUUAUUUGGGGGCACUUCCUCUGGGUUUUUUCUGGCCAGUCAUCUUAUUUUGUCUGGCUUUGAGUCCAUAUUUCACCUGACUUGGGGCCCUCCCCUGUAUGUGAGCAUCCUUUUUUUUUUUUUUUUUUUAGGGCCACGCUUGCAGCAUAUGGAAGUUGCCAGGGUUAGGGAUUGAAUCAGAACUACACCACAGCCACAGCAACCCUGGAUCCAAGCUGCAGCUGUGACCUGCACCACAGCUCACAGUAAUGCCAGAUCCUUAACCCACUGAGUAAGUCAAGGAUCGAACCUGCGUCCUUAUGGAUACUAGUCGGGCUCAUUACUGCUGAGCUACAGUGGGAACUUCCUGUGUGAGCAUCUUUUAACCAAGAUGGAUUCUAGCACAAAGGUUUCUGACAAGUUGACAGGAUGUAUUAUGAUCUGGCACCCCCUCCGUUCUCUGACCCUUCAAGAACCUUUCUGUUUAUGUAUAGUUUGGAAGGUCUCCUUGACCUCAAGAAUGAGAAAUAUGUGGUCUCUUUAUCUUUUAUCCAAGCAGGACUUAGUUCCUUCUUGCUCCUGCCACAGUCUUUAUCUUGAAGUAUCUUCCCACAGGGGACAGAUUCCAGAUGUUCAGCCUGGGACCCAUCUAUUUCCUGCCUCAGAAUACAGAGGUUCUCAAACUUAGGUUUCUAAAGGGGAAAUGUGGUGGGGGAGAUAGGAAUUGGUAUAUACACACUACUACAUAUAGAAUAGAUGGGUAAUGGCAACCUACUGUAUAGCACAGGGAAAUGUACUCAAUACUGUGUAGUAACCUAUAUGGGAAAAGAGUCUGAAAAGGAAUGGAUAUGUGUCACCUCUGUGUGUGUGUGUGUGUGUGUGUGUGUGUGUGUGUGUGUGUGUAUUUGAUUUGUUUUGUGAUACACCUGAAAUUAGCACAACUUUGUAAGUCAACUAUAUUCCAAUAAUUUUUUUUAAAAAG